AGAUGGUUGGGUGGUCUCACUGACUCAAUGGACAUGAGUUUGAGCAAGCUCUGGGAAAUGGAAAGUAAUCAGGGUUGAUGUAGCCUUACAGCCAGCUCAUGGAGAAUGGUUGGCCCAGGUACAUGGAAGAGAUUCCCAAGUGAGACGAUGAAUAUCAGUUUUCCAGCCCUGGUCAAGCUACAGAAAGGAUGAGGUUUUAAAUGGACACAAACCCUGAGCGUCUUCCUUGCCUGGAAUUGUUUUGCCUCUGGUGUGUGACUGGGAGCUACGGCAUCAGAUUCUGCUUUCUCUCGAGAAAAACUAACCCCAAUGGUACUUUCUCUGCAAAUUUUUUAUUUUCCUGGACAUGUUUAUUUUAUGGUUAUUUUUCAGUUUCUCAGCUCGUAUACGCGAUGAGCUUUUGCUCUCUGGCGUGAAUGGAACUAGUUCAAUAUUGUAGGAAAAUCUUGCCAUUUUAGGACCUGAAAACAUUCUGAGUUUAAAAAAAAAAUCAAUGUGAUGUCAAUAGAAGACAUUUAUACACGUGUAACCUGUUCAAGACCUGGGUAGAAUUUCUACCAAAUCAAGUUCUGAUUAAAGAUCUAGUAGCAUUAUUUGCCGACUGUACUUUUUUUUUACAGAAUAAAAUCACUUCAUAUCUUCA